rnacentral:rRNA from 1 species
GACGAACGCUGGCGGCGUGCCUAAUACAUGCAAGUUGAGCGCUGAAGGUUGGUACUUGUACCAACUGGAUGAGCAGCGAACGGGUGAGUAACGCGUGGGGAAUCUGCCUUUGAGCGGGGGACAACAUUUGGAAACGAAUGCUAAUACCGCAUAAAAACUUUAAACACAAGUUUUAAGUUUGAAAGAUGCAAUUGCAUCACUCAAAGAUGAUCCCGCGUUGAAUUAGCUAGUUGGUGAGGUAAAGGCUCACCAAGGCGAUGAUACAUAGCCGACCUGAGAGGGUGAUCGGCCACAUUGGGACUGAGACACGGCCCAAACUCCUACGGGAGGCAGCAGUAGGGAAUCUUCGGCAAUGGACGAAAGUCUGACCGAGCAACGCCGCGUGAGUGAAGAAGGGUUUCGGAUCGUAAAACUCUGUUGGUAGAGAAGAACGUUGGUGAGAGUGGAAAGCUCAUCAAGUGACGGUAACUACCCAGAAAGGGACGGCUAACUACGUG